GGAGAGAUGGUCAAGCGGUUCAAGGCGUAGCAUUGGAAAUGCUAUGUAGACGUUUGCUUACCGAGGUUUCAAAUCCCUCCUUUUCA
rnacentral:tRNA from 1 species